rnacentral:lncRNA from 1 species
GAGGGGGUGGGGGAAGAGGAGUUGGAUUUGGGAAGCAAUGCUAAGCAGUGGAAUGGACAUCGACAUAGAGAGAUCAGCUCCACACUUAUACUCUGCCACUCAACUUCCCCAUGUGACUUGAGGAUCACUCUAACUCCAAAACAUAGCAAGCUCGCGGAACAUCAGGGUUCAUGCAAAGUAUUCCAAGGAGCCCCUUGAAGCAACAGAAUGGAUUGCUCUUCUAUGGUGGAAUGGCACCCUGGAUGAUUAAAACCGUAGCAGCAAACAAAACCUCCAUCAAGUAAGAAUUCAGAGUGUGAGAUAUCACGCACAGCCACGCGUGGAUCUUUAUAUACGUGUCAAUGUGUUUGAUUGUAUUUUUGCUUUCAAAGUAUGUAUUGAGCAUUUCUUCUAGGUCCUCAGUAACAUCUUUUUAAAAAAAAAAUAAAUGCUUAGGGAAUUGUUUUAUAUUAAA